AAAAGAAGAAGAAAUGGGUAGAGACUCCGGUUCAGUGUUUUGGAUCUUGCUCUUUCAUGGAAGCUAGAAGAUGAUGGUAUACUCUGUGUUUAUAGAAUAGUCCCACUCACUCCUCAAUCGUUCUCUCUUCUGAUCUCUCCUUCGGAGUGAGUAAUCAUAAUCAUGGCGACAUCCGAUAAGCAGAACACGUUGGAUUACAUCAACCAGAUGUUUCCCACUGGUAACCUUUUUCUCAACCUUAAUUUACUAUACAGAUUUAUUCAAUUAGGGCUUUAGGUCAAUGCUGCUGAUGUUCUGAAUGUUCCCUCUCUGAAUCUGAUGUAGUUAAUUUCUGAAUUCAGUCUUCUACGAAAAAAAUCUGAAUUUACAGCUUUUGGUUGAGAUUUCGGUUUGAACUGCAGGAAAUUUAUUUUUUUCCCAAUUUCAGGUUAAUUAUAUCAGACUUUCAUCUAUAAAGUCUCACUUUAGAUGGUCCUCACUAUCAAAUGGUGGCAUAUGUAUUAAUUUUUUGAAGUGUUUGAUUUGUAGCUGGAACAUAUAGCAUUGCUGGCACUAUUGACUGAUUGAGCAUGAGCAACUAUAUUUUAUUUUAUUUUACUUUUUGGAGUUAUAUGUCAUGCUAAGUUGGUCUCGCGUUGAAAAGUAUAGAUUUGCACUAACAAUCUAUACAAUAUUGGGUAGCCUUUUUAAACCAGAUUUUAAAGUGAAACCAAAUGGAGGGCCUAAGCCUCAAAAAAAUUCACAUCAACCAAAAAAAUCCAACAAGAGAUGAUCAACUUUAAUAUUAUUGAGUUAGUUACGUUGAUGAAUAUAGAGAAAUGAGGGCUUAGAAAGUCCAUAGUAGAGCAAUUGCAAAUGCUUUUCUUGUCUUAUGUGAAAAGGAUGGAAGAUUCACCCUCCGUUAGAUCAGUGGAUACUAGAAUCUUGGAAGGAACCAUGAGUUAUAAGUUCCAUAAGUGUCAAGGCAAUGACUCAGAUACUUUAGAAGAUUUAAAAGGAACUUGCUCUAAGAAUUUCAAAUGGACUGCAAACCAUGCCUACUUCCAAUAAAAGUAAGUCUUUAUUUUUCACUGGAAGCAGGUCGGCGGAAUUUCAAAAAAGAUGCUGAAUUCAGCUGAAAGCCCAUGGAGAACCCGUGUUUUCGUAUUAAAAGAACCAAACUAAACUUACUACACUUCAGUUUAAAAGAACCAAACUAAACUUACUACACUUCAGUUUAGUUUGCAUAUUCAUAAAACCAAAAAAUGAAUCUGAAAUAGCAGAAGAGUGAACCAGAAAACCACAUGCACAUCCCUACUCUUCAAGGUUUAAGUGAGAACCACUUUUGGAGUUUAGAGGACAGAUCACAUAUGAAAAUGCAAUUUCUUAUUAGAAGUUGGACUAUAGUAAUGUUUCCCUUUUAUUCAAUCAAUUAAAACAAUAAUACUAUCUGCCAGAAAUGUGACAGGUUGACAAGAGUGACUAGAUGACGAGAUGACUUUUUCAAGCUUGUUUGUGUAGGAACAGAGGGAAAAAAUGACCAUUUGUAUUACUUUUUCUGCUACAUUACAUUAGAUUUACUUAGUUUACAUUUCCUUUUCUUUUUCAAACCUGCAUAAAUAAUUUAUAGAGAGUAUAAUGAUAAGGAUCUUUGUUUUAUUUAUCAAACAUCAAUUUAUUGCCUUUUCUGUUUCACACUUAUCUUUGAUCCAUUUCACCACUUAUAUUUUUUGCUACUGAAAUCAUUUCUCUUUGCUCCCUUCUUUUCCUUUUUCUUUGGGAUAACUACAGUAAAUCCAUUCAUAAAAAUGCGUGACAAAAGAGGUGUAGUAAGUAGGCGUCAGAGACAAGCAUUGGGGGAUUCAUAAAGUCGACCAUUUAUUUGUACUAAUUAAUCGUGUGAACUUAAAAGUAGUUUUCUCAAGAUUAGGUUGGAAGUCUCAUUUCCUUGAGUUUAGUUGGACUUUGGAGGAAUAUCGAGGCAUUAGAUAUGCAUUGAAUGUUCAGAACAGGGUUGUGUCGCGUGAAGAUUAGUCUUUGCUCAUUUAAGGACGGAUUAAUUUUUUUUUAUCUGAAGUUUGUAGUUAUUCUUUUGUAUGAUAUAUGUCAUGAAAUAUCCAAAUGAAAAAGUUAAAUGGAUAAUGGACUUCUCCUUUUAGGUGGUAGUUCUGCGAGGAUAUUCACUAAAAGGGUAAAAGGAUAGAGGGAGUUGGAAGUUGAUCUUAAGAGCGUCUUUGACAUUUUGCAAAUGAAUCACUAAUACAGUUCCUUCUGGCGAGCUAUCCGUAAUUGCAAUGUGACACUAUUUGUUUCUAAUAUAAUUGGAUGCCGGAAAUGUAUGAGAACGUUAUAUGGUUAUUUACGGAAGGAACUAGCAUCUGUGGAUAGCUGAGAAGAAGGUGAGUUUUGGGCAUUGACCACCGGAAUCCUAUUGCAAUGGCAAUAAAAUUGGUUUACAGUCCAUAUCUACUCUCGGCCAGUAAUCAUAGUUAACCUAUAAAAUGGCAAUAUAACUGCAUAAAGUUUAUGUUCCUUUAGGCUCUAAUGGACACAAAAAAAGUCUGAUAUGUAAGAAUUAAAAGUUUACUGGUGAUCGACUAAGGCUUGAAGUUUCAAAAUAUUAGAGAGCUAGGUGUAGUUUUUGAACAACUACUCAAUGAAAUAUGUCUAAAAUAUAAUUAAGACUUGAUAUCAUUAUCCUGGCUAAGCUUAAGCAUGCUUAUCUUAGUCAAAUUUGUCGGUUUCUCCAAAAAUCAGUUGACACAUGAUUGAUGUGCAGAAGCAUCUCUAUCUGGCGUUGAG
rnacentral:lncRNA from 1 species